rnacentral:rRNA from 1 species
UUGGAGGGCAAGUCUGGUGCCAGCAGCCGCGGUAAUUCCAGCUCCAAUAGCGUAUAUUAAAGUUGUUGCAGUUAAAAAGCUCGUAGUUGAAUUUCGGGAUCAAUUUAUCGGUCGUGCCUCUGGUAUGCACUGGUAUUAUUGAUUUCUACCUUCUGACGAACCAUGAUGUCAUUAAUUUGGUGUCAUGGGGAAUCAGGACUGUUACUUUGAAAAAAUUAGAGUGUUUAAAGCAAGCACACGCUUGAAUACAUUAGCAUGGAAUAAUGAAAUAGGACGUUUGACCCUAUUUUGUUGGUUUCUAGGAUCGACGUAAUGAUUAAUAGGGAUAGUUGGGGGCAUUAGUAUUCAAUUGUCAGAGGUGAAAUUCUUGGAUUUAUUGAAGACUAACUACUGCGAAAGCAUUUGCCAAGGAUGUUUUCAUUAAUCAAGAACGAAAGUUAGGGGAUCGAAGACGAUCAGAUACCGUCGUAGUCUUAACCAUAAACUAUGCCGACUAGGGAUCGGAUGAUGUUAAUUUUUUAAUGACUCAUUCGGCGCCUUACGGGAA